rnacentral:rRNA from 1 species
CCUACGGGGGGCAGCAGUGAGGAAUAUUGGUCAAUGGACGAGAGUCUGAACCAGCCAAGUAGCGUGAAGGAUGACUGCCCUAUGGGUUGUAAACUUCUUUUAUAUGGGAAUAAAACGUUCCACGUGUGGGAUUUUGUAUGUACCAUAUGAAUAAGGAUCGGCUAACUCGGUGCCAGCAGCCGCGGUAAUACGGAGGAUCCGAGCGUUAUCCGGAUUUAUUGGGUUUAAAGGGAGCGUAGGUGGUUUGUUAAGUCAGUGGUUAAAGUUUGGGGCUCAACCGUAAAAUUGCAGUUGAAACUGUCAGUCUUGAGUACAGUAGAGGUAGGCGGAAUUCGUGGGGUAGCGGUGAAAUGCUUAGAUAUCACGAAGAACUCCGAUUGCGAAGGCAGUUCACUGGACUGCAACUGACGCUGAGGCUCGAAAGUGUGGGUAUCAAACAGGAUUAGAUACCCUGGUAGUC